GAUGAACGCUGGCGGCGUGCCUAAUACAUGCAAGUCGAGCGAACGGACGAGAAGCUUGCUUCUCUGAUGUUAGCGGCGGACGGGUGAGUAACACGUGUAUAACCUACCUAUAAGACUGGGAUAACUUCGGGACACCGGAGCUAAUACCGGAUGAUAUUUUGAACCGCAUGGUUCAAAAGUGAAAGACGGUCUUGCUGUCACUUAUAGAUGCAUCCGCGCUGCAUUAGCUAGUUGGUAAGGUAACGGCUUACCAAGGCAACGAUGCAUAGCCGACCUGAGAGGGUGAUCGGCCACACUGGAACUGAGACACGGUCCAGACUCCUACGGGAGGCAGCAGUAGGGAAUCUUCCGCAAUGGGCGAAAGCCUGACGGAGCAACGCCGCGUGAGUGAUGAAGGUCUUCGGAUCGUAAAACUCUGUUAUUAGGGAAGAACAUAUGUGUAAGUAACUGUGCACAUCUUGACGGUACCUAAUCAGAAAGCCACGGCUAACUACGUG
rnacentral:rRNA from 1 species